CGGUCCAGACUCCUACGGGAGGCAGCAGUAGGGAAUCUUCGGCAAUGGACGAAAGUCUGACCGAGCAACGCCGCGUGAGUGAAGAAGGUUUUCGGAUCGUAAAACUCUGUUGUUAGAGAAGAACAAGGACGUUAGUAACUGAACGUCCCCUGACGGUAUCUAACCAGAAAGCCACGGCUAACUACGUGCCAGCAGCCGCGGUAA
rnacentral:rRNA from 1 species